CACUUGGUCGGCAAUAUAUUGGUGAAAAAGAGACGGUCUAUAGUUGCGUCUCUUUCACAUUAUAUUCGCGCUCCAACAUGACUCACGCCAAGCUUGCCAGUGGAUCGCUAGGAAGCGUUUUAAACGGUACAGGAAUUAGUUUGUGUUUUGUGACUGCAAAAGUAGAAAAAAUACAAAUCCAAAAAAACGCCCGUUAUGUAGGAAAAUAGGUAAUCAUACCGAAGAAGACAUGAAAAAAGCUCUUCAAGAUGUCAAAUCAGGGAAAAAAUACUUGCUGUUGCUAGAGAACAGAAAAUUCCAUUUUCGACGUUACAACAUUAUGCAGCCAAAGUUAAAGCAUCACAAGUCCACAGCCACAAGUCCUGAAAAUGUGAGACUUGUACCAGAGUUAAAAGAGUUUUCACGGAUGAGCAAGAACAAGCAUUAAAGGAGUAUUAUCAAAAUUGCGCUCUUAUGUUCUCAAAUCGAUAUCCGUUAGUUGGUAUUUGGAAAGGUUUUUAUUUAAUUUUAUGUUUUGCUGAUAAUAAUGUUAUUACAAAAAUCUCAAUUGUGAUUUAUAGGUUAGGUAAAAAACGAAAGUGCUUUUAAAUUGUUAAGUGGCUAAAGUAAAAAGUCUAGAAGCUAAGAAUCAUUUGUUUUGUUUAAAAUUUAUAAUGUGGUUUUAUGUUGGUUAUAUUUGAAUGAAUGAAUAUUAUUAUUAUAUUUGUUUAUAAAGAAGAAGAACUUCAUUUACUUUGACAUUUUACAUAUGAAGACUUUUGGUUGACUAGUUAAGAAUACUACAUUUAAAAAAAUCUGUUUGUCAUAAUAUUAAAGGAUUAAUAAUAUGUUAAACAAAGUCUAAAUACAUUUUUUAUACAUAGAUAAAAAAUAUUACCUUUUAUUUUAGGUUAAACACCCAACUGACCCACUGUGACCUGACAACUGACUCACUGUACACACUAUAUAGGACACAGUGGAUCAAAAGCCAUUUUAAAAAAAAAUAUAUAUUUUUCAAAAACUAUUAAGUAUAAUACAUAUAUUUGUAUACCGAAACGCAGCCAAUUAGUCUACCUUUCUUCUACUAAAGUUUGACAUCGAUAGCUUUUAUGGUUUUUGAGAUAUACGACUCGGAAAAAAGGGUGACCCACUGUUCCCACAAUCACCCUAACUACUGAGUUAUCGCGGGUUUUCUCUUACAGGUCGGACCGAAAAACUUACUUAUUCGCAUGCGCUGCCUCAACCAUUGCGUAUAACUGAAAUAAAUGUAUGGAGGCUUUUUGAACCUUUAAAAGUUCUACAAAAAAGUCCGCGAAACCAUAUAUCUAUCUUUUAUAUUUUAGCAGAUAUAGUACCUUUAGUACUUUAUUAAAUUAUUUAAAUUUUAAA